rnacentral:rRNA from 1 species
UCGUAGGUGACCUGCGGAAGGAU